UACGUAGGGGGCAAGCGUUAUCCGGAAUCACUGGGUGUAAAGGGAGCGUAGACGGCUGAGCAAGCCUGAAGUGAAAGGCAGGGGCUUAACCCCUGAACUGCUUUGGAAACUGCCAUGCUAGAGUGCUGGAGAGGUAAGUGGAAUUCCUAGUGUAGCGGUGAAAUGCGUAGAUAUUAGGAGGAACACCAGUGGCGAAGGCGGCCUACUGGGCUCUAACUGACGCUGAGGCACGAAAGCGUGGGUAGCAAACAGG
rnacentral:rRNA from 1 species